AUUGAACGCUGGCGGCAGGCUUAACACAUGCAAGUCGAACGAGUGGCGGACGGGUGAGUAAUGCUUGGGAAUCUGGCUUAUGGAGGGGGAUAAGGAGGGGAAACUGUCGCUAAUGCCGCGAACCAUAGGAUGAGCCCAAGGGGGAUUAGGUAGUUGGUGGGGUAAUGGCCCACCAAGCCGUCGAGCUCUAGCUGGUCUGAGAUGAUGACCGGCCACACCGGGACUGAGACACGGCCCUGACUCCUACGGGAGGCAGCAGUGGGGAAUAGUGCGCAAUGGGGGCAACCUGACGCAGCCAUGCCGCGUGAAUGAAGAAGGCUUUCGGGUUGUAAAGUUCUUUCGGUGACGAGGCGGUAACCACAGAAGAAGCACCGGCUAACUCCGUGCCAGCAGCCGCGGUAAUUC
rnacentral:rRNA from 1 species